rnacentral:rRNA from 1 species
AUGGGCGAAGCCUGAUGGAGCAACGCCGCGUGUGUGAUGAAGGCUUUCNNUUCGUAAAGGGAAANAAUGUAUGGGAAGAACGGGUUUAAGAUUCCCCUGCUUAGACAGGGAAAGUACCAUACCAGAAAGGGACGGCUAAAUACGUGCCAGCAGCCGCGGUAAUACGUAUGUCCCGAGCGUUAUCCGGAUUUAUUGGGCGUAAAGCGAGCGCAGACGGUUGCUUAAGUCUGAAGUGAAAGCCCACAGCUCAACUGUGGAAUGGCUUUGGAAACUGGGCAACUUGAGUGCAGUAGAGGUAAGUGGAACUCCAUGUGUAGCGGUGAAAUAA